CAGGAGCCUCAGGGCUCAGCUGCCAGGGGAAGGAAGCCUCACUCUUUCCUCCACACUGUCAAGAUACAAACGUGGAUGGGAAGGGCACACUCCACAGAAAUUCAAAGACCAUGCACCCUGGCUGCGGAGCUCACGGAGGACAGGCCAGAUGCGCAGGAAGAGUGAAGCAAGGCCCGUGAGGCAGGUCAAACGUCAAACCGACUCUAUCGGCAUCCAGAGGGGCUGUGCAGGAGCAGACACACCGACUCUACCCUGCCAACCCUCAGCUCGGCUCAGCUCAGCAGCUCGCUAACUGUGAAACUCGGACGGACAUCCUGUGAUCACUCCAACGCUUUAAAAUUCAUCAAAGCGCAGAGCGCUGCCUGGCCGCAGCCCAUUGCUCUGUUGUUCUGAGGGGCAAGGCCACAGCGACCUACAGCAGGGAAGAGACAAACACAGAUCUGGUGCAGAGAUUAUUCGGGUCAUCGAUGACAGGCAGGCAAGAAAGCAGGAGCGUUUCCUGCACGGCCACACCCAAGCAGAACCUUUUCAGGGUACUCAUCCCUUUUUAGGCUGGGCUUCGCUCCCCAGCGAGGUCAGCAGGGCCAGCUGAUUGUUUUUAUUUUACAGGUGUGGGAUUCCCUCUGGGGUCUGACUGCCACACUCAGACACAGAAGGGGCAGCAGGGGCAGGGUUUCUAGAGACAGACCUCCUCAGUCAAAUGCUGGCCACUUACCAGUCAGCAGGCUUGGAAAUGUUAUUUUGCCCCUUUGUGCCUCAGUUUCCUCAGAUGUAAAUGGAGAUAAUAAAUGUACCUAUCUCGAGGAAUAAAUAAAAUCACCCACAGGCCAGC
rnacentral:lncRNA from 10 species